rnacentral:rRNA from 1 species
AACGCGAAGAACCUUACCAAGUCUUGACAUCCCUCUGACCGGUCCGUAACGGGACCUUCCCUUCGGGACAGAGGAGACAGGUGGUGCAUGGUUGUCGUCAGCUCGUGUCGUGAGAUGUUGGGUUAAGUCCCGCAACGAGCGCAACCCUUGUCAUUAGUUGCCAUCAUUUAGUUGGGCACUCUAGUGAGACUGCCGGGGAUAACUCGGAGGAAGGUGGGGAUGACGUCAAAUCAUCAUGCCCCUUAUGUUCUGGGCUACACACGUGCUACAAUGGCCGGUACAGAGAGAAGCAAUAUCGCGAGGUGGAGCAAAUCUUCAAAACCGGUCCCAGUUCGGAUUGCAGGCUGCAACUCGCCUGCAUGAAGUCGGAGUUGCUAGUAAUCGCGAAUCAGAAUGUCGCGGUGAAUGCGUUCCCGGGUCUUGUACACACCG